CCCCCCCACCUUUCUCUCUCC
rnacentral:miRNA from 1 species